AUUAAAAACCAAUGCCCUUCGGGGCUCUCUGGUGAUUCAUAAUAACUUCUCGAAUCGCACGGCCUUGCGCCGGCGAUGGUUCAUUCAAAUUUCUGCCCUAUCAACUUUCGACGGCUGGGUCUUGGCCAGCCGUGGUGACAACGGGUAACGGAGGGUUAGGGCUCGACCCCGGAGAAGGAGCCUGAGAAACGGCUACUACAUCCAAGGAAGGCAGCAGGCGCGCAAAUUACCCAAUCCCGACACGGGGAGGUAGUGACAAUAAAUACUGAUACAGGGCUCUUUCGGGUCUUGUAAUUGGAAUGAGUACAGUUUAAAUCCCUUAACGAGGAACAAUUGGAGGGCAAGUCUGGUGCCAGCAGCCGCGGUAAUUCCAGCUCCAAUAGCGUAUAUUAAAGUUGUUGAGGUUAAAAAGCUCGUAGUUGAACCUUGGGCCUAGCCGGCCGGUCCGCCUCACCGCGUGCACUGGCUCGGCUGGGUCUUUCCUUCUGGAGAACCGCAUGCCCUUCACUGGGUGUGCC
rnacentral:rRNA from 1 species